UCCUCGGUAGCUCAGCGGUAGAGCAAGUGGCUGUUAACCAUUUGGUCGGGGGUUCGAAUCCCUCCCGAGGAGCCA
rnacentral:tRNA from 1 species